UUUUUUACCUUUUUAACUCCUUUCCAUCUCUUUCCCUUUUCCAGUGUCUGUAUAUUUUUCUUCUUUGGAAAUUUAUGUCCUUUUGAUGAAGGCAGAAAAUUAUGCAUCUCCCUAGCCAUCCUGCAUGAUUCUGUGUGCCCUUGAAGAGUGUGUUCCUGUCACCUCCCUGCUCAUUUAUCGUCCACAACAAAUUGAUACGCCAGGUUGAGAGUUCACCUAUAUCUACUGCUUCCCUAAUGAAGUAGGAAAAAUGGCGGGCUUCAAGAGUCUGUUUCUUUUCUACCUGAGGAACUUUCUGCAGCUAUGCCUACCUUGUGUUCAGGAAAACUUGUGAACUGUGGGACCCGAUGCAACCCCAGCUAAGACUUGGAAAUCUUCAUCAACACAGGAAAAAAAGAACACGACACUACAGUCACCAAGAAGAGAACAGUUUUAGCUUACAUUCACAGUUUUUACUUCUACUACUGAUGCUGGUUAUUUGCCAAAGAAAAGAAUUCUUUUGGCCUUAAACCCUGCAGAAUAAUUUCCUUUAGGACAAGAUACUACCAUUCUCUGUCAGAUUUCCAGUAGGUAUAGAACCUUCCCAAGCCUAAUAUUGAAGCUGGAUAAUUGAAAUGUGGAUAGUGGUUCUCUCUGAGCCAAUAAAAGCACAUGACAAGCCA